UACGAAGGGGGCUAGCGUUGCUCGGAAUCACUGGGCGUAAAGCGCACGUAGGCGGACUCUUAAGUCGGUGGUGAAAUCCUGGAGCUCAACUCCAGAACUGCCUUCGAUACUGGGAGUCUCGAGUUCGGGAGAGGUGAGUGGAACUGCGAAGUGUAGAGGUGAAAUUCGUAGAUAUUCGCAAGAACACCAGUGGCGAAGGCGGCUCACUGGCCCGAUACUGACGCUGAGGUGCGAAAAGCG
rnacentral:rRNA from 1 species